rnacentral:rRNA from 1 species
UACGGAGGGUGCGAGCGUUGUCCGGAAUCAUUGGGCGUAGAGGGCGCGUAGGUGGCCCGGUGAGUCUUUGGUGAAAGCGCGGGGCUCAACCCUGCGUCGGCCAGGGAUACUGCCGCGGCUCGAGCACUGUAGAGGCAGGCGGAAUUCCGGGUGUAGCGGUGGAAUGCGUAGAGAUCCGGAAGAACACCGGUGGCGAAGGCGGCCUGCUGGGCAGUUUUGCUGACACUGAGGCGCGACAGCGUGGGGAGCAAACAGG